rnacentral:rRNA from 1 species
UACGUAGGGUGCGAGCGUUGUCCGGAAUUAUUGGGCGUAAAGAGCUCGUAGGCGGUCUGUCGCGUCGGCAGUGAAAGCCCACUGCUUAACGGUGGGUCUGCUUCCGGUACGGGCGGGCUGGAGUAUGGCAGGGGAGACUGGAAUUCCUGGUGUAGCGGUGGAAUGCGCAGAUAUCAGGAGGAACACCGGUGGCGAAGGCGGGUCUCUGGGCCAUUACUGACGCUGAGGAGCGAAAGCGUGGGGAGCGAACAGG